rnacentral:rRNA from 1 species
UACGGAGGAUGCAAGCGUUAUCCGGAAUUAUUGGGCGUAAAGCGUCCGCAGGUGGUUUAUCAAGUCUGCUGUCAAAGCGCGAGGCUUAACUUCGUAAAGGCAGUGGAAACUGAUAGACUGGAGUGCGGUAGGGGCAGAGGGAAUUCCCAGUGUAGCGGUGAAAUGCGUAGAUAUUGGGAAGAACACCGGUGGCGAAAGCGGCUGCCUGGCCCACAACUGACGCUGAGGUGCGAAAGCGUGGGGAGCGAACGGG